rnacentral:siRNA from 1 species
CUUUGGUGUGCAUUGGUCGGC